CAAAGCACAGAAGGACCAAACUAUUCAGCUUUGCACAAUAGGGCAGCCCAUUUCAUUCCUUAAAAAUGCAGAGAAGCAAGAUGAAUCGUUCUUUCUUGCUGUCUAUUCUGAACAAAAAAAAUCGUGAGAUAAAACCUGGCUCGAACUUCAAAGGCACAGUGUUUCUCUCAGCACAGAUGUGGAAGAAAACCGGCCAGGGUAGUCUUUUUUUUGUAAAAAUUAACGUAUGGGAACUGUUGAUUCAUGGCCUGAACCACUGAUUGAUCACCUGAGGCAAGCACUGAGUCAGCCCUGGGAGCACAGGUGAAGCUGAUUCAGCUUGUGAUUGGAAGGAGGGAGCCUGGCUGCACCUCUCCUAGACCCCAUUUAAGGGUUGACUGUUACUCAGGAAGGAUUUCUUUCUCAAGAUCCUUCCUCUCUGGAGUCUUUCCUGUGAACCCACGUCUCUGGAUCUAGAUGUAGCUUCAGAUUUGAAUAUCCUGAGGCUCUUCCGUUCUGGAUCCUGGCUUCAUUUCUGAGGCUGAGGUUGGUGUUGGCGUACAAAGGAUCUGCAGUGAGCACACAGCUGCACAGGAUGCUGAACUUUCCCUGGGGAACCUGUUCUUCCACUUCGGAUGGCUGCAGCUGUUGUCUUCACUGCCUGAGGGAAGUGUACAUCCUUGAGAAGAUGUUCAAAGUUGGAUUCAAAUCCUGGGGUUUACCAGCUCCCCUUGUGCCAUUAUGUGACUGCCAUGAGUGAAAGGCAUACACCUUUUUAACUUGAACAUUCCUUUACACCAAAUGUCUACCAGAAGGGGAAGCACAAGACUCAUGAGCUUCUCUUCAUUUUUUCCUGAGAGUUGGGCAAGCUUUCCUCUCUUUUGUUAAAUAUCCCUGCAGAAACUCCUAACACCAUGAGCAGAAUCGGUAAGUGAUAUCAACAGGGGCUCCUGGAACACUGCCCUUCUCCUUUGAAACAGGGUAGAUUAGAAGAACCAUCUUUGAGCAAGUUCUUCUUCUGGAGUGUUCUUCAAGACACAAGAGCAGACUAAAAUCUCUCAUUCUUUUUUAUGAUUAUGAAACUGUGUUAUCACAUUACUCCUGCACAUUAGUAUAGACAGAGUAAUUUUUUGUGGACUUAGAUUUACUUGUUUCUUGUAUAAAUCAAGACCCUUCAAUCCAUGAUUCAUUUUAAUUUUAUUUAGAGGAAUAUUUUAUGUCACUUCAUAUAAUUCCACUGAAUCAACUUGGUGGAUAUCCUUUACUACCAGCAGAGUUUGUCCCCUGUCUCUUCAGUGUCUGCAGAAAAAAAUGCCUAUCUUUCCAAUUUUUGCCCCUGUGCUGCUCUUGGUAUGGUGAACUAAAGUGCUGCUUUUCAGUGCCAAAUCCUUCCUGUGCUGAACUUGACUUCAUUUGGCAGUAGGCAAUGGCUCCCUGGAUUACAAUUUACCCACUUAUCCUGGUUGGUGACAUCCUGGUAAACAACAGAAAAAAUGCCAGUGGCCACACAUAGAAGGUAUGUUGAAAUAUGAUGAUGAUUUAUAGGAUACGACAGGACUUUUGACCACUUUGUUUGAAGUGCCCUUGUCAAUCACAUCCAUGUUCUAUCAUCAUGUGAAGGGUUUUCUACUGAUGUUUGUGGAAUGUUUUUGAGGAUCCCAGAGUUUCUUCCCAUCAUGGGCUUGUUCCUCAUUAUGUUGUAAGCUUGUCCUUUUAGCUUUGCUAAGAUACUUUCCAAAUCAAUGACUUCUUGUUCCAUUCUUCUCUCAGUGGAAUCUGCCUUGCAGUCAUCUCAGUCAGGAAACUAAAAGGAGAUGGUAGCCCUUAUGGACAGAAUCUUGUUUACUGUAUCUUUUAGAGUUUACCCUUCAUUCCAAAUACCUUCCUAAGUAGUGUCAAAUUGUUUCAGUUGGAAGAACAAUUUCUAUCAGCUGUUUCUAUGCUAGAUUAUUUCAGGGGUGAGCUGCCUGGCAUACCUAUGAUAUCAUGUCUCUUGCACUAAGACAAAAAUUAUUUGGAUAAAUGUGCUUGAGUGUAGUUACUCUGACAGUAUGAGUGACACUUGACCACAUAUCUCAAAGAAAAAGAGUUAUAGAUAAGCUACCUCUCCUAUGCUACUUUUCUGUUCAAUUAUCCAUUUCAUUAUGGUCUGUUUUCUACUUAAUUUCUUUAUUUUAUAAUUUAAAAACAAAACAAAACAACUUACCUUCAGUACCUGCUUUUUUUUUUUUUUUUUUUUUUUU